rnacentral:rRNA from 1 species
AUUGAACGCUGGCGGCAGGCCUAACACAUGCAAGUCGAGCGAGCGGCGGACGGGUGAGUAAUGUCUGGGAAACUGCCUGAUGGAGGGGGAUAACUACUGGAAACGGUAGCUAAUACCGCAUACCAUCAGAUGUGCCCAGAUGGGAUUAGCUAGUAGGUGGGGUAAGGGCUCACCUAGGCGACGAUCCCUAGCUGGUCUGAGAGGAUGACCGGCCACACUGGAACGAGGACACGGGCCAGACUCCUACGGGAGGCAGCAGUGGGGAAUAUUGCACAAUGGGCGCAGUCCUGAUGCAGCCAUGCGGCGUGUUGGAAGAGGGCCUGCGGGUUUUAAAGCACUUUCAGCGAGGAGGCGUUACUCGCAGAAGAAGCACCGGCUAACUCCGUGCCAGCAGCCGCGGUAAUUC